AUGUAUUUUUCAUCAAAUAGAUAUCAUAGGAGAAGAUAGUUAAACUGAUAUUACUUUUAUCUUUGUUGCACAAGAAUCCUUUGGUGCAAUAAGAACAGUAAGAUCAUUUGCCCAAGAAGAUUAUUAAAUAACACGCUACUUAAAGAAAGUUAAUGAAGCACUUAAUCUUGGUCUUAAACAAGCUGUGAGUUAGCCAAUUAUAGUUUGAUACGUGCUUGUGUGUAGUUUUAUUUGUUUACCUUUGCAACAUUUAAUCUUAUAUCUCUUUGGCAAUACAGAAAGUUGUCGGGCUCUUUUUUGGAGCCCUUAAUGUUGCACCUACACUUUCAAUUAUUAUAGUUGGCUCCUUUGACUUUGUAGUGGGUUCUUCUAUAUCUGGUAUGCCUGGAUUGUAUAUAGUAGUUAUGAAAGUUGUAGGUUCUAGAAGAAGGGUAUUUCAACUUUUGGAUCAUACCUCAUCCAUGCCUAAGUCAGGAGAUAAAUGUCCACUGGGGUCAAUUUCAUAUAUUUCCUAAAAUAUAACUUAAAAAAAUUUAGUACCACAAGACAAACUACAAUUGGGUGAAAUUAAUGGUAUCCACUUAAUAGGGGGCAGGAUCCAUAUCAUUGAGUGGACCACUGGUGAAUUUCACCUAAUAAGUAAAGAAUGUGUUUCUACCAUUUCUUUACAUCUAUACACAUUGUGUAGGAUGUAUGGAUGAAAAAGCCUGCCUUUUGGAAUCUUGUACUAUAAGAUUUUACAUUGUCUAAUUAUGCAUUCAAAUCCUGUAUUGUCAAUAAAAGUAGUUAACUCAUUAUUAAAUAGACCUUGCAAUAUAUAGACACUUAGGCCUUGUUUGUUUACUAAGUGACACUAAAUGUCUUUUACUGUAGUGAUCAAGAUGGGGAAGUAGAACUAGAUGAUGUGUGGUUUGCCUAUCCAUCACACCCUAGCCAUCUUGUGCUUAAGGGCAUUACAUUGAAGCUGCAUCCAAGAUCAAAGGUUGCUCUUGUCGGUCCAAGUGGUGGUGGAAAGAGUACAAUUGCAAACUUAAUUGAAAGAUUUUAUGACCCAACCAAGGGGAAGAUUCUACUGAAUGAGGUUCCUUUGGUAGAAAUAUCACAUAAGCAUUUAAAUACUACAAUUUUUUUUGUCAUUACUAUUAUUAUUUAUUGUCUAAGAAUGGGACGAUGGAUUAAUUGGGCUAGCACUGCAGCAGCUAUUUUUGUAUUUAGGACACAACAAAU